UGUAGAAUCCUUGGUAUUCCAUUUUAGAUGUAAGGCAAGUCUUCAGGGGAUAUAUUCAUUGACCAUAAGACAUUUGGGGUCCUCAGCUAAGACUUUGCUUUUUAAAUUAUUUCCGGCAUGACUUCAGACACAGAAGAGAACUGCCUGGAGCUGAGGAGAGAGUAUUUAGUAAAGAAAGGGUUUGCUCCUGCCUCCCUUUCAGCCAUCUCAGCAACUUAAAGAGGAGGGCAACAUACUUUAAGAGUGCAUGCUGUGUCUUUACAGUCCACCACUGACGUAGGUGGAUGUGUGAGUAAGACUCAUUUUGUUGUUAAUUUAUCUUCUUGAUGCUCAAUAUCAGACUCCAUUUGCAUUGACUGAAUAACUGUGGAGUCGUUAUGAAGGCUGUACGAACUGCGUUACUACCCUUGGAAGUGAUUACUGCUGAAUUUUUGCCUCUUAAGCCUCCAAACAGGAUAUUGCAUUAUUAUAUGCAAUUCUCUUCCCUGAUGUACUGUCUGAGUAUUGGCCAAACCAUCAGUGUAUCACUGUGAUUCAUGCAGAACACUAAUCUCGAUGGAGCCAAAGGGUUACAGGUUUGCCUGUUGGAGACUUGCAGACAUUGGAAUUCUUUUAAACAUGAUUGGUUUCCAACAGACAGAUAUGGCUCUCAGACACAUGGAUAUCCAUCCAUAUGUGUGAUAGGUAGAACUACAGAACGAGCGUCAUGGAUGUUCAUCCUCGAAGUUGAAUUUUCAGAGCUGGAGGAAUAGUUCGGAGCUGAAGUUGGUCUUCCAACCUGGUUAUGAGAAUUACAGAGUAUAAUCCAAGCCUUAUAUGCGUCAUUUGCUUUGGAAAAUAAAAACCUGCUUUUGAAAAUAUUUGAAUAUGCAGAAAUGAGGAGUGUGGUACAUGCCAGUCAGUGAGGGCUUCCUCUUAGUUGCCGUGUUCAUUAGCCUGGGCCUGGUGCAAGGCACAGCAGCCAUUUGAAUAAGACAUGCACAAGCCAGGUGGUAGCAUUGGGUGUGUUGGGCUAGUGAGCAGCAGAUUUCUUUCUUACUUAGGUCAUGUUCUUAUCUUUUGCUUGUCCAUGUUUAUAUUGGAGUAGAGCUCAGAGGCCCCAGAACUGAAGAAAAUAACCACACUGCAAACAUUUACGAAGAAGUUGUUAUGACUGCUAAUGCUUCUUCCUGCUCCACUGCUACAAACUCUGCCAUAGUGCAGCAAAGAACUGAAUGGUUUCCAAAAGAAGUGUGUGAGGAAACAUGAGGAAAUGCUGGAGGGAAUGGAGAGGGGAAGGAGAGGAGGCUGGGAUUCCUGAGAAUGCAUCAGUACUUUAAGGAGUUGUUGAAUACAGCAUCUCACAUAUAUCUUGCUCAUCCUGCUGCCACUGCUAUUUCUGAAGUGACUGAUGCUGCAGGUUAAGCUGUAUGUGCUUGCUGGAUCCAUCCCCUCAGAUGAAGGAGUAUUUGGUCAGGCUUGUGUGGAGCUACUCAAUUUUACCCAGGAUGAAGAAAUCUUUUUAAUAUGCCAGAGCGUGGUAUAGAUAUAUAGGACUCUGGAUAGGCCACCUGUGAAGUCAGAACACAUUCAGAGGAAGACAGUGAGUAGAUUUUCCAGUGCACAGUCUGAUCAUCCUAAAUCCACUGAAGUCCUCAUUUAGGCUUAUAUUGCUCUUCUGUUCUUGCUCUUAGACAUGCCCAACUGAUGAUCCUGUCUUUGUGUAGAGACUGAUCUGACAUAUCGCAGGAUGUACUGGCUUUUGCACCAAAGAGAGAAUCCAGUUUCCAACUUCAGACUUUUCCAGAUUGACCCAUCGUGUUGUGUAGCUAGGAAAGAAGAUAGACUUCCACAACAAGUGUCUUAAUUUUCAACACAUAGAAACUUUUCAUGAAAACUUGGAAACUGCUCUGAAUCUGAGAUGGCAACCUGAAACCAGAAUGUUUCAUGUUAAACCAUAAAUCUCCCAAACUUCCACGUUGAUUUUGCAGUAUAACACUAAGCUUUCGUUUCAAAUCCUUCUGGAAGACUAGUAUAACUUCCUGUGUUGUUUUAGAGAAAAUAUAUUGCAUGAUCUGACUAGUUUUUACCACUACUAUAAAGGGGUGACACGAUCUGUAAGGCUUUCCUUUACUGUAAUUUUCUUUUUCAGCUGAAUUUGUUUUAAGAGGAGGAAACUGGGAUGGCCAAGGCCUGUAAACCAUUUAUUACCCAGUUUUAAAGGCUCAAGAAGAAUUUAAAGAUGUGUUUUGUGCUGGCUGUGUCCACGUGUAACAAUUUUAUCCCUGUGAAUUCUUGUUCAAGCUGUCUAGACCCCCUCUGUUGCCAUGGCUUUGUGAAGCCUAUCUUUGCAGUGCAACCUUUGG